AAAACCCAUAACAUCUUGGUAGUGUGUGUGAGAGAAAACUCUCCCUCCCUCUUCCUAACUUUGACAAAAAUAAAAAUAAAAAUAAAAAUAAAUCAAACCUAAGACCUCGGUUAUAAGGAUAAAUUCUUUUAAUCACUUUAUCUACAAACCCUUUAUAUGAACAUGAUUUUUCGAUUAAAGAAUAUCUUGGAGGAUCGCAUGCUUUCUUCCUUCAAUUUAUUUUAUUAUUAUUAUUUUGUUUUUCUUUGCUUCCUUUGGGUGUUUAGAUCUCGACCAAAACAAAAUGACGAUCAAUGAUGUGUCAUGUCCGACAAAAGUAUACCAACAACGUGAAGAUGCAGCCGCCCAAUAAAAACAUUUAAAAGAGAGAAUGCGCGUGCUGCUUGAGCUUUGGAGAAUAGACUGAUUUCGCAUGGCAUUCUCAAUCCAUGUAUAUAGACGAGACUUGGGCAUUGAGCAAUCUAAUGAAUGAGUUUGACUUCAUUUAUUAGUGGAUCUUGCAGUCUCUCUAGUAUCCAUGUCUUGUCGGCAAGGAUAGGGACUUUAAUUUUGAUUCCCUCUAGGCUGAAUCAUGUAUGGUAUUAAUAAUUUUUCAAUCUCAUCUCUCUCUGUUUAGAAUUUUAAAAUAAUUCAAUAUGAUUUAGGAUUUUACGGGUUUCUACAUGUCGAAUGUAUCAGUUUAUUUGAGCUGUUUUUGAUCAUUUUGAUUUGAAUUCUUACGUAUAAGGAGUCAAGUAUUUUUCAGAUGUUGAAU
rnacentral:lncRNA from 1 species